UACAGAGGGUGCAAGCGUUGUUCGGAAUUAUUGGGCGUAAAGGGCGCGUAGGCGGUGCCACAAGUCACCUGUGAAAUCUCCGGGCUUAACUCGGAGCCUGCAGGCGAAACUGUGGUGCUGGAGUGUGGGAGAGGUGCGUGGAAUUCCCGGUGUAGCGGUGAAAUUCGUAGAUAUCGGGAGGAACACCAGUGGCGAAGGCGGCGACCUGGGC
rnacentral:rRNA from 1 species